AAAAUAAUAGUUUGGGCCGAGUAUAGAAUCAUUCUCGGCCCGGAAGGCCUGGCGACAAGAAUACCAUGGAUCGUUCAGUACGUGGGUCUCCAAACCUAGGUCGGCUAGGUCAUAACGCAAGAAGUCGAGUCCUAGUGCAAUGAGGAGUCUCGGCAGGACCCGGAAACGAAUCCGGCUCGGUUAAGGACUAGGUUCACAGUCCUAGUGAAAGUAGGACUGGUCGAGUUGGUGCUGAUCAGGAGAAGAAGACCUAGUCCGAGUAGGUUUUUAACUCGACCUUGGGGGGAGUCGUUGCUAUAAAUAGAAGAGGCUGCGCAUCAUUCA
rnacentral:lncRNA from 1 species